GAGGGAUUUACUUGAUGUUGGGUUCAUUUGAAAGGGUGAAAAAAUGCCGAACAAUGUAUAUUGCUAUCUCAGACUUGCAUUACUGGUGGUAAUUUUUACAACCUUUGAAAACCAAUUUUUAAAGGCAUUUUUCAGUACAACCUUUUAAAUUGGCAAAUAAUCUAUUAUAUUACAGAAUGAAUAUAUAUAGAAGUUUAUUCUCUUGAAAACCAUCUAAUUGUCUACG
rnacentral:lncRNA from 1 species